rnacentral:rRNA from 1 species
GACACGGACCAGACUCCUACGGGAGGCAGCAGUGAGGAAUAUUGGUCAAUGGGCGAAAGCCUGAACCAGCCAAGUCGCGUGGAGGAAGACGGCCCUACGGGUUGUAAACUCCUUUUACCUGGGAAUAACGGGCGCUACGUGUAGCGCUGUGCAAGUACCGGGAGAAUAAGCAUCGGCUAAUUCCGUGCCAGCAGCCGCGGUAAUACGGAAGAUGCGAGCGUUAUCCGGAUUUAUUGGGUUUAAAGGGUGCGUAGGCGGAAGAAUAAGUCAGCGGUGAAAUGCUUCAGCUCAACUGGAGAAUUGCCGAUGAAACUGUUUUUCUAGAGUAUAAAAGAGGUAUGCGGAAUGCGUGGUGUAGCGGUGAAAUGCAUAGAUAUCACGCAGAACCCCGAUUGCGAAGGCAGCAUACUGGGCUAUAACUGACGCUGAAGCACGAAAGCGUGGGUAUCGAACAGGAUUAGAUACCCUGGUAGUCCACGCCGUAAACGAUGAAUACUAACUGUUUGCGAUAUAAUGUAAGCGGUACAGCGAAAGCGUUAAGUAUUCCACCUGGGGAGUACGCCGGCAACGGUGAAACUCAAAGGAAUUGACGGGGGCCCGCACAAGCGGAGGAACAUGUGGUUUAAUUCGAUGAUACGCGAGGAACCUUACCCGGGCUUGAAUUGCAACUGAAUGAUGUGGAGACAUGUCAGCCGCAAGGCAGUUGUGAAGGUGCUGCAUGGUUGUCGUCAGCUCGUGCCGUGAGGUGUCGGCUUAAGU